rnacentral:lncRNA from 1 species
CUCUUAUUAGUCUAUAUGGGAUUCAGUACAGGUUUUCAAUGGAGGCUUGAGCUCAGGAGCAUUUUCUGGGUUUUUGUCUUGUUUUGUUUUUUUGAGACAGAGUCUUGUCCUGUCCCCCAGGCUGGAGUGCAAUGGCACGAUCUCGGCUCACUGCAACCGCCGCCUCCUGGGUUCAAGUAAUUCUCCUGCCUCAGCCUCCCGAGUAGCUGGGAUUACAGACACGCGCUAACACGUCCAGCUAAUUUUUGUUUUUUUAAUAGAGACGGGUUUUCACCACGUUGGUCAGGCUGGUCUCGAACUCCUGAUCUCAGGUGAUCCACCCACCUCGGUCUCCCAAAGUGCUGGGAUUACAGGUAUGAGCCACCGCUCCCAACCUCGUUCAUUUGGUUCUCAAGAGUGAUCAUUCUCUUUUUCUACUUACUUAUUGCAUUUUUAAUUAGAAAAUCCUAUUUAUUCAUUCUAAGAAGUCAUUUGUGCUCUACUGGCAUUUUCUUGAGAAUUCCUCUGUGUGUGUGUGUGUGUGUGUGUGUGUGUGUGUGUGUGUGGUGGUGGUGGUGGUGUGUGCUGAAAUUCUCUUCUGAUUCUCUUAAUUGGCCAUGGGCCAUAGUUGAGUUCUGCUCCAAUACUCUCCUUCUUCCCAGUCUGUGCAAAUGAAAGCAGGACCAACAAAGGUGUGGCACCUCAGACACCAGAGAGCAGCUCAUCCAGAUGUCUGUGGCCUCUGCAAUGCCAGUGUGGUCAAGGCAAUCACUAAUCAGUCAUACCCAAGGUGGUCCCUCCCACCAUCACUCUCAUUAUGCUGCUCUCUCCUGACACUAGUAUGAGUCUUCUUAGUAAGGACUCAGAAGCUCUGAUACAAGCUGCAUAGCCUUAGUCUCCAAAGCCACAGCUUCCUUGCAAAGAGCUCCUUCCCACUCCACAUAACUGCUGAACCCCAGGCCCUGGGCACUGAGGAGCCUCUGGGCAGGACGCACACCCCCACCCCUGCAGAAGUCCCUCUCCAGGAGCAGCGUUCUCCCUUCCAUACCAAGAGCAGUUGAAUGGGGUUCCUGGCUCAUUCCUUGGCUUUGUUCUGAAGGGGAGCACCCCCUUAACUGUGCCCUCUCUAGGCAGAGCCCUCCAGAAAAGUAUCCACCUGUACCUUUGUCUCAGGGCACUUCCCCUUGGGGAGGCACAGUGAUCAAGAAUUUCAAUUCAUCUUCUCCAACUAGGAGAGAAUCAAAACAUCUCCACACACGGAUCAGCUCCCUUGGCAUUUCCUGAUUCUUCCACCCACAGUUCUAGAAUGCAUUCAGUUCACUCAGCAGCACUGAUUAAACUUUUACCUGUCAUGCACGAUAGUGAGACGUCAGAGGUAAGAGAUAACACGUCAUGUCUAAGAACAUUAUUUUCAGUGAUGAGGAAUGGAUGGCAAAUGAAAUGAGAAAAAAAAAAAAA